rnacentral:rRNA from 1 species
AGCGAACGCUGGCGGCAGGCUUAACACAUGCAAGUCGAGCGGACCUUUCGGGGUCAGCGGCGGACGGGUGAGUAACGCGUGGGAACGUGCCUUCCGGUUCGGAAUAACCCUGGGAAACUAGGGCUAAUACCGGAUACGCCCUGAUGGGGAAAGGUUUACUGCCGGAAGAUCGGCCCGCGUCUGAUUAGCUAGUUGGUGGGGUAACGGCCUACCAAGGCGACGAUCAGUAGCUGGUCUGAGAGGAUGAUCAGCCACACUGGGACUGAGACACGGCCCAGACUCCUACGGGAGGCAGCAGUGGGGAAUAUUGGACAAUGGGCGCAAGCCUGAUCCAGCCAUGCCGCGUGAGUGAUGAAGGCCUUAGGGUUGUAAAGCUCUUUUAUCCGGGACGAUAAUGACGGUACCGGAGGAAUAAGCCCCGGCUAACUUCGUG